GAUGAAGAACGUAGCAAAAUGCGAUACUUGGUGUGAAUUGCAGAAUCCCGUGAACCAUCGAGUUUUUGAACGCAAGUUGCGCCCGAAGCCUUUUGGCCGAGGGCACGUCUGCCUGGGCGUCACGCAUCGCGUCGCCCCCCACAAUUCUCCGUAAAGGGAACAUGUGUUUUGGGGGCGGAUAUUGGUCUCCCGUGCUCAUGGCGUGGUUGGCCGAAAUAGGAGUCCUUUCGAUGGACGCACGAACUAGUGGUGGUCGUAAAAACCCUCGUCUUUUGUUUCGUGCUGUUGCUCGCAAGGUAAACUCUUUAAAAACUCCAAUGUGUCGUCUCUUGACGACGCUUCGACCGCGACCCCAGGUCAGGCGGGACUACCCGCUGAGUUUAAGCAUAUCAAUAAGCGGAGGA
rnacentral:misc_RNA from 1 species